rnacentral:rRNA from 1 species
AACGAACGCUGGCGGCAUGCCUAACACAUGCAAGUCGAACGAGACCUUCGGGUCUAGUGGCGCACGGGUGCGUAACGCGUGGGAACCUGCCCUUAGGUUCGGAAUAACUCCCCGAAAGGGGUGCUAAUACCGGAUAAUGUCUUCGGACCAAAGAUUUAUCGCCUUUGGAUGGGCCCGCGUUGGAUUAGCUAGUUGGUAGGGUAAAAGCCUACCAAGGCGACGAUCCAUAGCUGGUCUGAGAGGAUGAUCAGCCACACUGGGACUGAGACACGGCCCAGACUCCUACGCGAGGCAGCAGUGGGGAAUAUUGGACAAUGGGCGAAAGCCUGAUCCAGCAAUGCCGCGUGAGUGAUGAAGGCCUUAGGGUUGUAAAGCUCUUUUACCCGGGAUGAUAAUGACAGUACCGGGAGAAUAAGCUCCGGCUAACUCCGU